rnacentral:tRNA from 1 species
GGUGGCUCAGUGGUAGAGCGCUUGCCUUGCAUGCCAGAAGCCCUGGGUUCGAUUCCUCAGUACCA